rnacentral:rRNA from 1 species
UUAUGUUAGAAAAUGGAUUAUUAAUGAAAAAAGGUUUUUUAAGUUAGUAUUGUGAUAAAUUUUAUUAUUAUUCUAUAGAGUAUAGUACUGAGAAGGAAGAAAAAUUUAAUAUUGGAAAAGCAUUUAAAUUACCUUUUGCAUAAGGGUUUAUUUAAAAUAAUAAAGAAUUUUUUUUUCCCGAAACUUAAUGAGCUAUUUUUAUAAAAAUUAUGUGUUUCAGAAUAUAAUUGUAUAUAGAAAUAGAAAUGAAAUUUUAUUCAAAUUGAGAGAUAUCUGGUUAAAAUAACUUAAUUAAAUAUUAUCAUUAAAGUAUAAAUUAUAUAUAGUGCUUUAAAUGUAAUAAUUUACGGGAUAAGCUGUAAAUUUUCUUAUAAAUAUAAGAAGGUUUUAAUUAAGGUUUAAAAUUUACUGUGAUUUGUUAAAAAAACUUAUUUAUUUUUUUUUUUAAUUAGUUAAGGAGAUUGUUAUUUUAAAAAAUAUUUUUUAAAAGAAAUUAUAAUAAAAUUAGUAUAAGAAUUAUUAUAUAGUUAAUAUUAAAUUAUUUAUUGAUUAAGGUUUUUUUUCUUAAGGAACUCGGCAAAUUAAUUUUUGACUGUUUAUCAAAAACAUUGUAUUUUGAUUUAAUAAAAUAUUUAACCUGCUCAAUGUAAUUAUAAAUUGCUGUGGUAUUUUGACUAUACGAAGGUAUUGAAAUAAGGUUUUAAAUGGAUGCUAAGAGAAUGGUUGAACAAAGAUUAUCUUUCUUAAGAAAAUUAAUAGAAGUUGGUUUUUAUGUGAAAAAACUUAAAUGUUUGUUUGGGACAAGAAGACCCUAUGAAUUUUUAUUUUAAUUAUAUAAAUAUUUAUAAAAUUAAAAUUUAAUUGGGGUGAUUUUUAAAGAUUAAUAAACUUUAAGAAUAUUAAAUGAUCCGUUAGUAACGAUUAAGUGAAAAAAAUACUCUAGGGAUAACAGCGUAAUAAUUUUGGAUAGUUCUUAUUGAUAAAAUUGAUUGCGACCUCGAUGUUGGAUUAAGAUUCUUUUUUAAUGGAGAAGUUAAAAGAAGAAGUUUGCUCAACUUGUAAUAUCUUACAUGAUCUGAGUUCAGACCGGCGUGAGCCAGGUUGGUUUCUAUCUAAAUAUUUGUAAUAUAUUAUAUUAGUACGAAAGGAAUAUAUAAUGAAGUUUAACUUAAUUAAAAAGUUUUUUGAUUUUA